rnacentral:rRNA from 1 species
UGAGGAAUAUUGGUCAAUGGGCGCAAGCCUGAACCAGCCAUCCCGCGUGAAGGAAGAAUGCGCUACGCGUUGUAAACUUCUUUUCCAGGGGGAGAAUUUUCCUGUCGAGACAGGGAUUGACGGUACCCUGGGAAUAAGCAUCGGCUAACUCCGUGCCAGCAGCCGCGGUAAUACGGAGGAUGCGAGCGUUAUCCGGAUUUAUUGGGUUUAAAGGGUGCGUAGGCGGAUUGAUAAGUCAGUGGCGAAGUUCUGCAGCUUAACUGUAGACUUGCCGUUGAUACUGUUAGUCUUGAGUGUGGUCAAGGCAGGCGGAAUGUGUAAUGUAGCGGUGAAAUGCUUAGAUAUUACACGGAACACCGAUUGCGAAGGCAGCUUGCUGGGUCAUUACUGACGCUGAUGCACGAAAGCGUGGGGAUCAAACAG